UCUACAAUACGGUACGGUGCCUUUUCUUCCCGAGAGAAGUUUAACUUGUCUGAACACUUAAGUCGAAGCACAAGAAGAGGAUCAUCCUAUCCAUCAUUUUAAAAGAAUGGCGACUUCUAUAUUCUGGCCAAUUUUGAUAUAUCAUGUUUUUUCGAAAUUGCAUUAACUGUACCCUGUUCUAGCUGUUGUUGGUUAAGCAUCUGAGAUAUACCGUGAAAAGGAGAGCAUUAGCCCUACAUAAGAGAAUUAUCUUUUACCUUCAUUUUCUUAGCUUUGGCAACAUUCUUUUGGAUUCAUUAUGAGAUAGCUUACCACAUAUGCCAUGUGAUAGUUGAGUUGACAACUUAAAGAGCAUACAUGUCCAAGAAUUUGUGUGCCAAGAUAUAUACAUACACUGUGCAUCCUUUUGCAUAGGAAUAUAUGCAGUUCCGAAAAGAACACAAGCAAAUUUCGACAAUUCAAAAGUACCUGAAGUCAAAAGGAAAUAUUUGUAUGAAGCUAAAUCUAGAUGUAGCUAAAUCAGGAGCAUGUUUAUAACUGUGAUAUGCAGAAACUCUGAUUUAUAAAGAUGUGAGCCAAUAAUAAUAAUAAUUUGA
rnacentral:lncRNA from 1 species